CGCAGGGUGGAGCAGCAUGGUAGCUCGUCAGGCUCAUAACCUGAAGGUCAUAGGUUCAAAUCCUAUCCCUGCACCCA
rnacentral:tRNA from 1 species